rnacentral:lncRNA from 1 species
AUCCCUCAGUGAAUGCUAUCCAAAAAAAAUUGUUUAACAAUGUCCAAAAAUUACAAAACCAAAUUAGCAAAAUAAUGUUCAUAAAUCACUGGGGUGCCUCCUAACAAGCGCUCUUUUAAUGUCACUAGCUUGGCCCAAUAAAGCUCACAUUCCAUCCUUCACGUUGUUGUCUUCUUCAUCUUCAUCACACCAACUCAUCAACUGCUUCCGGUCCACCUUCUUGACUCUCCUAGAAUAGUGAGCUUCAAUCUCUAUCACUCCAUUCUCUUGAAAGCCUUUCACCACCCACAACUUCUUCUUCUAUCUUAAGGUGUACCUAGCUUGAAUGAUGCAUCCUUCAAGUCAAAGUGGAUUGUCCCUCCUUUGUCAACUUCCUCCUCUUCCUUUACCUGCAUGAAAACACAAUUAUUACCUUUGUUGACCACUUUCGCAAAUUUAGGCCAAACAACCGCUGCAUCCUUCUUUGAAGCUUUAUACUUAGCCUUCUUUUUUACUCGCAUCAGCUUCUCUUUGGAGACAUUAUAAAUCACCUUUUCUUCUUGGUCUUUAAGCAUAAUCACCCCAUCAUAAACACUUAUGACCACAAAAUCAACCAGGAAUUUAAGGCUUCAAAUGUGAAUCACCACGCCCUCCACCACACCAUAAGGUUUCUUUGAUGAUCCAUCCGCCACAACCAAGGAAAUAUUUGUUGGCUUCAAUGUCAGACCACCAAUCUUCUUCAGCAUAGAUAAGGGCAUCAAAUUAAUACUUGACCUUGAAUCAAGUAAAACUCUCCCUAUCUUCACACUCCCAAUGGCACAAGGAAUUGUAAGGCCUCCUAGAUCCUUCAUUUUUGGAGGGUGUCUCCUCUUCAAAGGGCCACUACAAAAUUCCUAUUCCUCAAUAGCUUUCUCUUCAAGAUCUAUCUUUUCUCCAAGAUAUUGCUUUAUACGCCUAGCAUAGACAGGAAUUUGUUGAAGUGCUUCAGUCAGUGGCAUAGUAACCUCCAUUUGAUUGAAGAUUUCUCUAAAGUGCUCACACUUACUCUCUUUUCUCUCUUCUCCUCUUGAAUAAGGAAGAUCACUCUCAUCUUUUUCAAUUUUCUCUUCUUUUUCUAUUUUUUUCUUCCUUCUUCUCUUUUUCUUCUCUAAUCUCACCCUCACAUAUUUCUUCUUUUUCCUCUUUUUUUUCUAACUCAACAAUUUCUUUGUCCACUCUCUCCUCAACCAUGCUCACAGCAACCCUAUAAUCCUCUCUAGGGUUAACUUCAGUAUUAGCCCUAAAUUGAUUUUUCUCUGUGACCUUCACCCAUUUGGAUAAAUGGCCAAUUUGCAUCUCCAAAUUCCUGAAGUUGGCGUCAUAUCUCUUGCAAUCGGACUCCUGC